rnacentral:lncRNA from 1 species
UGGAUCCAGGAAAGAGUGUCUGUGGCAGUUAAUAACGAUUAAUGCCUGUGUGUUUUUCAGAACAUUGAGCUGAAGGUUGAAGUGGAGAGCUUGAAACGAGAACUCCAGGACAAGAAACAGCAUCUGGAUAAAACAUGGGCUGAUGUGGAGAAUCUCAACAGUCAGAAUGAAGCUGAGCUCCGACGCCAGUUUGAGGAGCGACAGCAGGAGACGGAGCAUGUUUAUGAGCUCUUGGAGAAUAAGAUCCAGCUUCUGCAGGAGGAAUCCAGGCUAGCAAAGAAUGAAGCUGCGCGGAUGGCAGCUCUGGUGGAAGCAGAGAAGGAGUGUAACCUGGAGCUCUCAGAGAAACUGAAGGGAGUCACCAAAAACUGGGAAGAUGUACCAGGAGACCAGGUCAAGCCCGACCAAUACACUGAGGCCCUGGCCCAGAGGGACAAGUAGGUGCCUUCGGUGCUCUUUUUGUCGCUUGUCUUUUGCCCAUUCUCAAGGCAUACAGCAGCUGUCCUGUUCCCUUUCAAGGACUGACAGUAGGAGCUUCACUAUUUCUAAGACUUUAUGGGCCCACAACCGAAGACAUUCUUUUCAG